GCAACGCCGCGUGAGUGAUGAAGGUUUUGGGAUCGUAAAGCUAAGUUUCCAGGGAAGAACGCUAUGGAGAGUAACUGUUCCAUAGUUGACGGUACCUGAGAAGAAAGCCCCGGGUAAAUACGUGCCAGCAGCCGGGGUAAUUAGUAGGGGGCCAGGGUUUUCCGGAAUUUUUGGGGGUAAAGCGCGGGCCGGCGGUCUUGUAAGUUCGGGGUUUAAACCCCGGGGUUAACUCCGGGUGGCAUCGGAAACUGUGUGACUUGAGUGCACAAGAGGAAAGUGGAAUUCCACGUGUAGCGGUGAAAUGUGUAGAGAUGUGGAGGAACACCAGUGGCGAAGGCGACUUUCUGGGCUGUAACUGACGCGGAGGCGCGAAAGCGUGUGGAGCAAACAGGAUUAGAUACCCUGGUAGUGUCACGCCGUAAACGAUGAAUUGCUAGKGUUAGGGGAUUCSAUYCCCUYRGUGCCGAAKUUAACACAUWAGCACUCUCSCCYGGGAGAGUACGGUCGCASGACUGAAACUCAAGAGAAUUGACGGAGACCCGCACAAGCUGUGGAGUAUGUGUUUUAUUUCAAAGCAACGCAAAAAACCUUACCGGGUCUUGACAUCCCUCUGACCCCCCUAGAUAUAAGGCUUCCCUUCAGGGCAGAGGAGACGGGGGGUGCAUGUGUGUCCUCCUCUCGUGUCGAGAGAUGUUGGGUUAACUCCCGCAAAGAGCGCACCCCUUCCUUUUAUUUGCCCACUUUGUUUUGGGCUCUCUAGAGAGAGUGCCCGAGACAAACCAGAAGAGGGGGGAGAAGACCUCAAAUCCUCGUGCCCCUUAUGACGUGGUCUACACACGUUCUACAGGGGGGGGUACAAGGGGAAGCGAACCCGCGAGGGGGAGCGAAUCCUAAAAAGCCUCUCUCAUUUCAGAUUGCGCUCU
rnacentral:rRNA from 1 species